UACGUAGGUGACAAGCGUUGUCCGGAUUUACUGGGCGUAAAGAGCGCGCAGGCGGUCGAUCAAGUCGAGUGUGAAAGCCCCCGGCUUAACUGGGGAGGGUCAUUCGAUACUGAUCGACUCGAAGGCAGGAGAGGGUAGUGGAAUUCCCGGUGUAGUGGUGAAAUGCGUAGAUAUCGGGAGGAACACCAGUGGCGAAGGCGACUACCUGGCCUGUUCUUGACGCUGAGGCGCGAAAGCUAGGGGAGCAAACGGG
rnacentral:rRNA from 1 species